CAAGGGCACGUCUGCCUGGGCGUCA
rnacentral:rRNA from 1 species